CGACUACGAGUUUGAUCAUGGCUCAGAUUGAACGCUGGCGGCAUGCUUUACACAUGCAAGUCGAACGGUAACAGGCCUUCGGGUGCUGACGAGUGGCGAACGGGUGAGUAAUGCAUCGGAACGUGCCCAAUCGUGGGGGAUAACGUAGCGAAAGUUACGCUAAUACCGCAUAAGCCCUGAGGGGGAAAGUGGGGGACCGCAAGGCCUCACGCGAAUGGAGCGGCCGAUGUCAGAUUAGCUAGUUGGUGGGGUAAAGGCUCACCAAGGCGACGAUCUGUAGCGGGUCUGAGAGGAUGAUCCGCCACACUGGGACUGAGACACGGCCCAGACUCCUACGGGAGGCAGCAGUGGGGAAUUUUGGACAAUGGGCGCAAGCCUGAUCCAGCCAUGCCGCGUGCGGGACGAAGGCCUUCGGGUUGUAAACCGCUUUCAGCCGGAAAGAAAUCGCUGUUUUUAAUACGGACAGUGGAUGACGGUACCGGAAGAAGAAGCACCGGCUAACUACGUG
rnacentral:rRNA from 1 species